GACGAACCGUGCGAACGUUAUUCGGAAUCACUGGGCUUAAAGCGCGUGUAGGCGGAUCGGAACGUCGGCUGUUGAAAGCCCCCGGCUCAACCGGGGAAUCGGCACCGAAACGACCGGUCUGGAGGGAGGUAGGGGGAGCCGGAACUUCCGGUGGAGCGGUGAAAUGCGUUGAGAUCGGAAGGAACGCCCGUGGCGAAAGCGGGCUCCUGGACCUCACCUGACGCUGAGACGCGAAAGCCAGGGUAGCGAACGGG
rnacentral:rRNA from 1 species